UGUAAGCGUAUACCAAAGUUGUUGCAGUUAAAACGCUCGUAGUCGGAAUUUGGCAGUUCCGGAUGUGUGCACGUCGUGUGCGCACUUCGCGGGGAUUGCUUUUGUGGUCUUGCGUAGGAUGAGGCACUUUUAUUAGUGAACGUCCUCACGCAACCACUUUUUACUGUGAGAAAAUCUGAGUGCUCAAAGCAGGCAUUUGCCGUGAAUGUAUUAGCAUGGAAUAAUAGAAUAGGACUUGGUUCUAUUUUGUUGGUUUGUUGGGACUGAGUAAUGAUUAAGAGGGACAGUUGGGGGCAUUUGUAUUUCGGUGCUAGAGGUGAAAUUCUUAGAUUACCGAAAGACAAACUGCUGCGAAAGCGUCUGCCAAGGAUGUUUUCAUUGA
rnacentral:rRNA from 1 species